rnacentral:rRNA from 1 species
AACGAACGCUGGCGGCAUGCCUAACACAUGCAAGUCGAACGCUCAUCUUCGGAUGGGAGUGGCGCACGGGUGAGUAACGCGUGGGAACCUGCCCCGAGGUGGGGGAUAACCCGGCGAAAGCCGGGCUAAUACCGCAUACGUCCUGAGGGAGAAAGAUUGAUCGCCUUGGGAGGGGCCCGCGUCGGAUUAGGUAGUUGGUGGGGUAACGGCCUACCAAGCCGGUGAUCCGUAGCUGGUCUGAGAGGAUGGCCAGCCACACUGGGACUGAGACACGGCCCAGACUCCUACGGGAGGCAGCAGUGGGGAAUAUUGGACAAUAGGCGCAAGCCUGAUCCAGCAAUGCCGCGUGAGUGAUGAAGGCCUUAGGGUUGUAAAGCUCUUUCGCCCGCGACGAUGAUGACGGUAGCGGGAGAAGAAGCCCCGCUAACUUCGUGCCAGCCGCCGCUGUAAG